rnacentral:tRNA from 1 species
CCAUAGCUCAGCUGGGAGAGCGCCUGCCUUGCACGCAGGAGGUCAGCGGUUCGAUCCCGCUUGG